AGUCUUGGACCCUCUCGGUGGGAAACAACUCAUCAGGUGUCACUUUCAAAUCUUUUGAGCGCAUCUCUUAACUCUUUUAUUUAAAAAAUAAUUAACAAGAUAGCCUUUAAAGGAAGCGAAAGCUCACUCGACCAAGCCAUAAUUCAAAUGGAUAAUCACUUGAACCACGGGCUUUAGUAUACAUAGCGAAGAUAUGGUAAAAAUGCCGAGAUCGCUUGUGAUCCAGCCUUGCCAGCACUCUAUAUCCUCCACCACCAAUUCGAAUUAAUAAGGAAAAUCUUUGAAAAGGAUAUUUUUCAUUAAUCGCCAUUAAUCCAAAUGGAUGGUGAAAAGACAUAAGGCAUCGAAUAGAUAUAGGACUUAAAUCUACAUAUCCUCGAUUAACCCUAAAGCGCUUGAUUAGGUCAAUGGCAAAUUCUUGGUAUGAUAUGAGUUGGGGCUCUUUGGUCUAGAUUUUUUCCUAGUCCUUGUUUCAAAAAAGGGAGUAUAAUAGCAGAAGGUUGUUAGACUGGCCUCUGAGUGGAAUAUUAAUAUUAUCCUUCAACCAUGUGUUGCAGACCAGUUACAGGUUGGUAAAACCUCACUCCUUACCGAAAAAAAAGCCUUCUUCGGGCUAUGAUCUAGCAUUCUUAGCUGCUAAGCCAACUGUAGAAAGUCAUGCCUCGGAUUGCUUUAUUUGGGCCGUUACCAGUAGUGUAGUCAAUUCAUAUGCUUAAAACAAAAACAUGGAAUCACGAAAUCCAAAUCUUUCUCUCCUAUCCCUUUACUAGACCACCUUGAAAAUGAAAAUCAAGCUAGAAAAAAUUCCUCGAAAAAAA
rnacentral:misc_RNA from 1 species